rnacentral:rRNA from 1 species
CCACACCUAAAAAUCUUUCCACGUGAAUUGUUUGGACAACGUUGGGCUUCGUUGGCGGCUUCCCUUGUGGUUGUCGUCGGCUUGAGGCUAUCGGACGGCUUGGCUGCUUGCUUGGUUCGUUGAUUGAUUGCUCCGUCAGUCGAUCGAUGGACCGAGAGAGUAGUGAGGCGGUCUUUUUGUAAACCCAUUGUCGUAUUGAAACUGAUUGUACUGUGGGGACGAAAGUCUCUGCUUUGAACUAGAUAGCAACUUUCAGCAGUGGAUGUCUAGGCUCGCACAUCGAUGAAGAACGCUGCGAACUGCGAUACGUAAUGCGAAUUGCAGGAUUCAGUGAGUCAUCGAAAUUUUGAACGCAUAUUGCACUUUCGGGUUUUGCCUGGAAGUAUGUCUGUAUCAGUGUCCGUAGACUAAAAUUGCCUUUCUUGCGUCGUGUAGUCGUCGGUUGGAAAGCGCAGAUGUGAGGUGUCUUGCGUGGUCUGCAUGGGUCGGUUCGGCGCAGGCCGGGUCGAGUCGGUUGGUUCUGCGCAAGUCCCUUUAAAGUCGGACGUGUUUCUCUGUGUGGUGCGCGGUGGCGGAUCUGUGGACGUGCGUACGUGCGGGACGGCAAUGCUGUGCGCGGACGAGUCUGGCGGUCUUUGGUGCUUGCACUGUGGGGAUUCCUCGAUUGGCGGUAUGUUUGGCUUCGGCUUUUGACAAUGCAGCUUAUCGGGUGUUUCUCUGCGCCGGCUUGUGCUGUAGGAAGACGAACCGGAUGGUCUGUGUGUGUCGGCGUUGUGUGUGUCUGUGCGUUCGUUGGUUUGCGAAGAGCCGUUGUAUGCGUGCGCCAUGCAUGAGGCGUGGUAGAUUUGGGAAACUGUGCUGGCAUGGACUUUCGGGUCGGUGCGAGCAUCUCAA